GUGGGGAAUCUUCCGCAAUGGGCGAAAGCCUGACGGAGCAACGCCGCGUGAGUGAAGACGGCCUUCGGGUUGUAAAGCUCUGUUAUAUGGGACGAACGGGUGUAUGGUCAAUACCCAUACGCCGUGACGGUACCGUAAGAGAAAGCCACGGCUAACUACGUGCCAGCAGCCGCGGUAAUACGUAGGUGGCAAGCGUUGUCCGGAAUCAUUGGGCGUAAAGGGCUCGCAGGCGGUUCGGUAAGUCGGUCUUAAAAGUGCGGGGCUUAACCCCGUGAUGGGAUUGAAACUGCCGGACUGGAGUGUCGGAGAGGAAAGCAGAAUUCCUAGUGUAGCGGUGAAAUGCGUAGAUAUUAGGAGGAAUACCAGUGGCGAAAGCGGCUUUCUGGACGACAACUGACGCUGAGGCGCGAAAGCCAGGGGAGCAAACGGGAUUAGAAACCCCUGUAGUCC
rnacentral:rRNA from 1 species